AGGUAAGCUACUAAGAGCGAAUGGUGGAUGCCUUGACUGGUAAAGGCGAUGAAGGACGUACUAGACUGCGAUAAGCUACGGGGAGCUGUCAAGAAGCUUUGAUCCGUAGAUUUCCGAAUGGGGCAACCCAAUGUAUAGAGAUAUACAUUACCUAUAUAGGAGCGAACGAGGGGAAUUGAAACAUCUUAGUACCCUCAGGAAAAGAAAUCAAUAGAGAUUGCGUCAGUAGCGGCGAGCGAAAGCGCAAGAGGGCAAACCCAGUGCUUGCACUGGGGGUUGUAGGACUGCAAUGUGCAAGAGGUGAGUUUAGCAGAACAUUCUGGAAAGUAUAGCCAUAGAGGGUGAUAGUCCCGUAUGCGAAAAACAAACCUUAGCUAGCAGUAUCCUGAGUAGGGCGGGACACGAGAAAUCCUGUCUGAAGCUGGGUCGACCACGAUCCAACCCUAAAUACUAAUACCAGAUCGAUAGUGCACAAGUACCGUGAGGGAAAGGUGAAAAGAACUGAGGUGAUCAGAGUGAAAUAGAACCUGAAACCAUUUGCUUACAAUCAUUCAGAGCCCUAUGUAGCAAUACAGGGUGAUGGACUGCCUUUUGCAUAAUGAGCCUGCGAGUUGUGGUGUCUGGCAAGGUUAAGCAAACGCGAAGCCGUAGCGAAAGCGAGUCUGAAUAGGGCGCUUAGUCAGAUGCUGCAGACCCGAAACGAAGUGAUCUAUCCAUGAGCAAGUUGAAGCUAGUGUAAGAACUAGUGGAGGACUGAACCCAUAGGCGUUGAAAAGCCCCGGGAUGACUUGUGGAUAGGGGUGAAAGGCCAAUCAAACUUCGUGAUAGCUGGUUCUCUCCGAAAUAUAUUUAGGUAUAGCGUUGUGUCGUAAUAUAAGGGGGUAGAGCACUGAAUGGGCUAGGGCAUACACCAAUGUACCAAACCCUAUCAAACUCCGAAUACCUUAUAUGUAAUCACAGCAGUCAGGCGGCGAGUGAUAAAAUCCGUCGUCAAGAGGGAAACAACCCAGACUACCAGCUAAGGUCCCUAAAUCUUACUUAAGUGGAAAACGAUGUGAAGUUACUUAAACAACCAGGAGGUUGGCUUAGAAGCAGCCAUCCUUUAAAGAAAGCGUAAUAGCUCACUGGUCUAGUGAUUUUGCGCGGAAAAUAUAACGGGGCUAAAGUAAGUACCGAAGCUGUAGACUUGAUUUUAUCAAGUGGUAGGAGAGCGUUCUAUUUGCGUCGAAGGUAUACCGGUAAGGAGUGCUGGAGCGAAUAGAAGUGAGCAUGCAGGCAUGAGUAGCGAUAAUUAAUGUGAGAAUCAUUAACGCCGUAAACCCAAGGUUUCCUACGCGAUGCUCGUCAUCGUAGGGUUAGUCGGGUCCUAAGUCGAGUCCGAAAGGGGUAGACGAUGGCAAAUUGGUUAAUAUUCCAAUACCAACAUUAGUGUGCGAUGGAAGGACGCUUAGGGCUAAGGGGGCUAGCGGAUGGAAGUGCUAGUCUAAGGUCGUAGGAGGUUAUACAGGCAAAUCCGUAUAACAAUACUCCGAGAACUGAAAGGCUUUUUGAAGUCUUCGGAUGGAUAGAAGAACCCCUGAUGCCAUCGAGCCAAGAAAAGUUUCUAAGUUUAGCUAAUGUUGCCCGUACCGUAAACCGACACAGGUGGGUGGGAUGAGUAUUCUAAGGCGCGUGGAAGAACUCUCUUUAAGGAACUCUGCAAAAUAGCACCGUAUCUUCGGUAUAAGGUGUGGUUCGCUUCGUAUUAGGAUUUACUCCGAAAGCGAAGAAACUUACAACAAAGAGUCCCUCCCGACUGUUUACCAAAAACACAGCACUCUGCUAACUCGUAAGAGGAUGUAUAGGGUGUGACGCCUGCCCGGUGCUCGAAGGUUAAUUGAUGGGGUUAGCAUUAGCGAAGCUCUUGAUCGAAGCCCGAGUAAACGGCGGCCGUAACUAUAACGGUCCUAAGGUAGCGAAAUUCCUUGUCGGUUAAAUACCGACCUGCAUGAAUGGCGUAACGAGAUGGGAGCUGUCUCAAAGAGGGAUCCAGUGAAAUUGUAGUGGAGGUGAAAAUUCCUCCUACCCGCGGCAAGACGGAAAGACCCCGUGGACCUUUACUACAGCUUGACACUGCUAUUUGGAUAAGAAUGUGCAGGAUAGGUGGGAGGCUUUGAGUAUAUGACGCCAGUUGUAUAUGAGCCAUUGUUGAGAUACCACUCUUUCUUAUUUGGGUAGCUAACCAGCUUGAGUUAUCCUCAAGUGGGACAAUGUCUGGUGGGUAGUUUGACUGGGGCGGUCGCCUCCCAAAUAAUAACGGAGGCUUACAAAGGUUGGCUCAGAACGGUUGGAAAUCGUUCGUAGAGUAUAAAGGUAUAAGCCAGCUUAACUGCAAGACAUACAAGUCAAGCAGAGACGAAAGUCGGUCUUAGUGAUCCGGUGGUUCUGUGUGGAAGGGCCAUCGCUCAAAGGAUAAAAGGUACCCCGGGGAUAACAGGCUGAUCUCCCCCAAGAGCUCACAUCGACGGGGAGGUUUGGCACCUCGAUGUCGGCUCAUCGCAUCCUGGGGCUGGAGCAGGUCCCAAGGGUAUGGCUGUUCGCCAUUUAAAGCGGUACGCGAGCUGGGUUCAGAACGUCGUGAGACAGUUCGGUCCCUAUCUGCCGUGGGCGUAAGAAGAUUGAAGAGAUUUGACCCUAGUACGAGAGGACCGGGUUGAACAAACCACUGGUGUAGCUGUUGUUCUGCCAAGAGCAUCGCAGCGUAGCUAAGUUUGGAAAGGAUAAACGCUGAAAGCAUCUAAGCGUGAAGCCAACUCUAAGAUGAAUCUUCUCUAAGCUCUCUAGAAGACUACUAGUUUGAUAGGCUGGGUGUGUAAUGGAUGAAAGUCCUUUAGCUGACCAGUACUAAUAGAGCGUUUGGCUUAUCUUU
rnacentral:rRNA from 1 species